AGGCAGCAGUAGGGAAUCUUCCACAAUGGGCGCAAGCCUGAUGGAGCAACACCGCGUGAGUGAGGAAGGGUUUCGGCUCGUAAAGCUCUGUUGUAAGAGAAGAACGUGUGUGAGAGUGGAAAGUUCACACAGUGACGGUAACUUACCAGAAAGGGACGGCUAACUAC
rnacentral:rRNA from 1 species